rnacentral:rRNA from 1 species
GACGAACGCUGGCGGCGUGCUUAACACAUGCAAGUCGAACGGAAAGGCCCUGCUUUUGUGGGGUGCUCGAGUGGCGAACGGGUGAGUAACACGUGAGUAACCUGCCCUUGACUUUGGGAUAACUUCAGGAAACUGGGGCUGAUACCGGAUAGGAGCUCCUGCUGCAUGGUGGGGGUUGGAAAGUUUCGGCGGUUGGGGAUGGACUCGCGGCUUAUCAGCUUGUUGGUGGGGUAGUGGCUUACCAAGGCUUUGACGGGUAGCCGGCCUGAGAGGGUGACCGGCCACAUUGGGACUGAGAUACGGCCCAGACUCCUACGGGAGGCAGCAGUGGGGAAUAUUGCACAAUGGGCGGAAGCCUGAUGCAGCAACGCCGCGUGCGGGAUGGCGGCCUUCGGGUUGUAAACCGCUUUCGCCUGUGACGAAGCGUGAGUGACGGUAAUGGGUAAAGAAGCACCGGCUAACUACGUG